GGCUCAGAUGAAACGCCGCGGGCAUGCUUUACACAUGCAAGUCGAACGGCAGCACGGGGGCAACCCUGGUGGCGAGUGGCGAACGGGUGAGUAAUGUAUCGGAACAUAUCCGGAAGUGGGGGAUAACGUAGCGAAAGUUACGCUAAUACCGCAUAUGCCCUGAGGGGGAAAGGAGGGGAUCGUAAGACCUUUCGCUUUCGGAGUGGCCGAUAUCAGAUUAGCUAGUUGGUGAGGUAAAGGCUCACCAAGGCGACGAUCUGUAGCUGGUCUGAGAGGACGACCAGCCACACUGGGACUGAGACACGGCCCAGACUCCUACGGGAGGCAGCAGUGGGGAAUUUUGGACAAUGGGCGAAAGCCUGAUCCAGCCAUGCCGCGUGAGUGAAGAAGGCCUUCGGGUUGUAAAGCUCUUUCGGACAGAAAGAAAUCGCACUUACUAAUACUAGGUGUGGAUGACGGUACUGUAAGAAGAAGCACCGGCUAACUACGUGCCAGCAGCCGCGGUAAUACGUAGGGUGCGAGCGUUAAUCGGAAUUACUGGGCGUAAAGCGUGCGCAGGCGGUUUUGUAAGACAGGUGUGAAAUCCCCGGGCUUAACCUGGGAACUGCAUUUGUGACUGCAAGGCUAGAGUAUGGCAGAGGGGGGUAGAAUUCCACGUGUAGCAGUGAAAUGCGUAGAGAUGUGGAGGAAUACCGAUGGCGAAGGCAGCCCCCUGGGUCAAUACUGACGCUCAUGCACGAAAGCGUGGGGAGCAAACAGGAUUAGAUACCCUGGUAGUCCACGCCCUAAACGAUGUCAACUAGGUGUUGGGGGAGGAGACUUCCUUAGUACCGCAGCUAACGCGUGAAGUUGACCGCCUGGGGAGUACGGCCGNCAGGGUGAAACU
rnacentral:rRNA from 1 species